rnacentral:lncRNA from 1 species
CCCACCUCGCUCGCGCACGCCCAGUCAUUAAAAAAAAACAAAAAAAAAACCCAGCCGUGAGGAGCUUCUACUGCCGUUGGGUACACAUUUAUCAUGUUUGACAGCCGAGUUUGGAGGCUUGUUUACUUCGAAGCGAUCUGGAGGCCUAAUCUUCCCUUUCCAGCCGUGCGCACGUGUAAAAGCUUGUCCCAGAGAAGGCCAGACUAGAAACCUUCAGACGAAACCCUUCAGUAUUUGGGACAUGUGUGGGGUCAUGUAGUGUCGUCGUCCGCGGGACAGAGAAGAAAAUACAAGUCUAAACAAAACCAAACAAAUGGCAGACCUUUUAAGAUGGUGCGUGGUUAAAAGAGUAGCUGGUUGUGCCCGAAAGAGCCCCAAAUCCCACAUCUUUUCGAGGAACAGGACGCUUUUCGGCGCCGAGCAAUGAAUUUCUGAGGGCAGUUUGUCGCCCUCACUAAAUGGCCACCCCGAAGCACCCUUAUCCCUGCCGUCCGGAACACUGGAAAUUCUUCGACAUCCGGAGGGGGCCGACUUUACCCCGGUAUCAUUUGGCAGGCUCUGCAUGCUGAUGGUGGGGCCCCAGGCAAAGACCCAGGUUGGGAAGGAACUGAAGCCAUUGGUGAGUGGGGUCACCUCCGCAGACACUUAACUUGCCUUUCCCAUUUCCCACUCUCUCUUCUUUUCUACCAUGUGAAGUCCCAGAACUUCGGGUUUCGCUCUCCUAGAUUCUCUCCAGCCAAGGGAGCAUGCUCAGUGCUUACUGUCUUCAGGUGAUCAGGAGACAAGUUACAAUUCACAGAGAGUAGCCCUGCAAAGUUGGGAAUUCCUCUCAGCAGCUUUUAAUGGAUCCUUCUUUAUCUCUGAAGCAUACAAUCCACUUAGCACUCAGUAGCUGAAUCCAUUACUAAAGAAGCAUUGACAAUAAUAUUGGCAAUCGGCAGCAAAUAAAAAACAGCCAAACAACCUGGGGGGGGAUUAAGAAUUCUUAAAUUGACUGAUGUAAUGGUGCUUCCUAUAACAAUAUUUGAUUGUUAUAGCUUAGU